UAGUUCAUAGUAGUGGUUGAUGUUGAUUAUCAAGUUUUUUGGAAUCAGUUAAAAUUUUUAGGCCCGGCUUAACUCGUGCCAGCCGCCGCGGUUAUACGAUGGGGUCUAAUAAAAUCUUUUGGUGGAAUUAAGUAGAGUUUGUUUUUUUAAAAUAAUUUUUUAACUAUUUAUUUAAGGGUGAAAUUUUUAAAUAUGUACUAUAAUAAUUAUAAAAAAUUUUAUAUCUUUUGAAAUAAAGGUUUAGACUAGGAUUAGAUACCCUAUUAUUCUUUAUUAUUAAGUGCCUGGGUAGUAGAGAUAUUUUUAAACCUAAAGAAUUUGGCGGUACUUCAUUCUUACUAGAGGAACCUGCUCUUGAAUCGAUAUUCCACGAUUAAAUUUACAUAUUUUUGUUUUCAGUUUGUAUACCGCCGUUGUCAGAUUAUUUUUAAAAAAUAUUAUCUAAUUAGCUCAUUGCUGUGACAUCAGGUCAAGGUGCAGCC
rnacentral:rRNA from 1 species